AUCUCUGUAGAGUCUGCAUAUCAAUAAGCGGAGGAAAAGAAACUAACUAGGAUUCCCUCAGUAACGGCGAGUGAAGCGGGAAGAGCUCAAAUUUGAAAUCUUCAAGGUUCUACCUUGACGAAUUGUAGUUUAAAGAAGUGUUUUCUGUUGGAGUUUUGGUAAAAGUUCUUUGGAAUAGGACAUCAUAGAGGGUGAGAAUCCCGUAUUUGACCAUUAUUUCCAGCUUUGUGAUACACUUUCAAAGAGUCGGAUUGUUUGGGAAUGCAGUCCAAAAUGGGUGGUAAAUUUCAUCUAAAGCUAAAUACUGGCGAGAGACCGAUAGCGAACAAGUACCGUGAGGGAAAGAUGAAAAGAACUUUGAGAAGAGAGUUAAACAGUACGUGAAAUUGUCAAAAGGGAAGCGUUUGACACCAGUGUUGUUUUCUCGAAAAUCAAUUAAAAAAAGUUGGAUUUUGUAUUGUUAAGACCUUAUCAGCUUACUGUACUCUUUUCUUGCUUUUUUUAAUGCACUUUUCGUUUAACAAGUCAACAUCAAUUUCUUUUGUUGUAAAAGAGUCAUUGGAAGGUGGCUUUCACUUCGGUGAAAGUGUUUAUAGCCUUUGGCUUCUGCAAUCGGAGAGAUUGAGGUCUGCAGCGUAGAUCCUUCGGGGCUAGAUACGUAGAUGCUAAGUUAUAGUUUUUUAUAGACAACUUGUUGACUAUAAUUAAUCAUGUAGCUUACUCGUUUGCGCUAUUUUACCUACGCUUAGGAUGUUGACGAGACUGUCGAUCUC
rnacentral:rRNA from 1 species